rnacentral:tRNA from 1 species
GGAGGCGUGGUGUAGUGGUUAACAUACGUGCCUGUCACGCACGAGACCGCGGGUUCGAUCCCCGUCGCCUCCGCCA